rnacentral:rRNA from 1 species
CAGGCUUAACACAUGCAAGUCGAGGGGCAUCAGGAAGAAAGCUUGCUUUCUUUGCUGGCGACCGGCGCACGGGUGAGUAACACGUAUCCAACCUGCCCUUUACUCGGGGAUAGCCUUUCGAAAGAAAGAUUAAUACCCGAUGGCAUAAUGAUUCCGCAUGGUUUCAUUAUUAAAGGAUUCCGGUAAAGGAUGGGGAUGCGUUCCAUUAGGUUGUUGGUGAGGUAACGGCUCACCAAGCCUUCGAUGGAUAGGGGUUCUGAGAGGAAGGUCCCCCACAUUGGAACUGAGACACGGUCCAAACUCCUACGGGAGGCAGCAGUGAGGAAUAUUGGUCAAUGGGCGCUAGCCUGAACCAGCCAAGUAGCGUGAAGGAUGAAGGCUCUAUGGGUCGUAAACUUCUUUUAUAUAAGAAUAAAGUGCAGUAUGUAUACUGUUUUGUAUGUAUUAUAUGAAUAAGGAUCGGCUAACUCCGUGCCAGCAGCCGCGGUAAUACGGAGGAUCCGAGCGUUAUCCGGAUUUAUUGGGUUUAAAGGGAGCGUAGGUGGACUGGUAAGUCAGUUGUGAAAGUUUGCGGCUCAACCGUAAAAUUGCAGUUGAUACUGUCAGUCUUGAGUACAGUAGAGGUGGGCGGAAUUCGUGGUGUAGCGGUGAAAUGCUUAGAUAUCACGAAGAACUCCGAUUGCGAAGGCAGCUCACUGGACUGCAACUGACACUGAUGCUCGAAAGUGUGGGUAUCAAACAGGAUUAGAUACCCUGGUAGUCCACACAGUAAACGAUGAAUACUCGCUGUUUGCGAUAUACAGUAAGCGGCCAAGCGAAAGCAUUAAGUAUUCCACCUGGGGAGUACGCCGGCAACGGUGAAACUCAAAGGAAUUGACGGGGGCCCGCACAAGCGGAGGAACAUGUGGUUUAAUUCGAUGAUACGCGAGGAACCUUACCCGGGCUUAAAUUGCAGUGGAAUGAUGUGGAAACAUGUCAGUGAGCAAUCACCGCUGUGAAGGUGCUGCAUGGUUGUCGUCAGCUCGUGCCGUGAGGUGUCGGCUUAAGUGCCAUAACGAGCGCAACCCUUAUCUUUAGUUACUAACAGGUUAUGCUGAGGACUCUAGAGAGACUGCCGUCGUAAGAUGUGAGGAAGGUGGGGAUGACGUCAAAUCAGCACGGCCCUUACGUCCGGGGCUACACACGUGUUACAAUGGGGGGUACAGAAGGCAGCUAGCGGGUGACCGUAUGCUAAUCCCAAAAGCCUCUCUCAGUUCGGAUCGAAGUCUGCAACCCGACUUCGUGAAGCUGGAUUCGCUAGUAAUCGCGCAUCAGCCACGGCGCGGUGAAUACGUUCCCGGGCCUUGUACACACCGCCCGUCAAGCCAUGGGAGCCGGGGGUACCUGAAGUACGUAACCGCAAGGAUCGUCCUAGGGUAAAACUGGUGACUGGGGCUAAGUC